GGUUAAGCGACUAAGCGUACACGGUGGAUGCCCUGGCAGUCAGAGGCGAUGAAGGACGUGCUAAUCUGCGAUAAGCGUCGGUAAGGUGAUAUGAACCGUUAUAACCGGCGAUUUCCGAAUGGGGAAACCCAGUGUGAUUCGUCACACUAUCAUUAACUGAAUCCAUAGGUUAAUGAGGCGAACCGGGGGAACUGAAACAUCUAAGUACCCCGAGGAAAAGAAAUCAACCGAGAUUCCCCCAGUAGCGGCGAGCGAACGGGGAGCAGCCCAGAGCCUGAAUCAGUGUGUGUGUUAGUGGAAGCGUCUGGAAAGGCGUGCGAUACAGGGUGACAGCCCCGUACACAAAAAUGCACAUGCUGUGAGCUCGAUGAGUAGGGCGGGACACGUGGUAUCCUGUCUGAAUAUGGGGGGACCAUCCUCCAAGGCUAAAUACUCCUGACUGACCGAUAGUGAACCAGUACCGUGAGGGAAAGGCGAAAAGAACCCCGGCGAGGGGAGUGAAAAAGAACCUGAAACCGUGUACGUACAAGCAGUGGGAGCACGCUUAGGCGUGUGACUGCGUACCUUUUGUAUAAUGGGUCAGCGACUUAUAUUCUGUAGCAAGGUUAACCGAAUAGGGGAGCCGAAGGGAAACCGAGUCUUAACUGGGCGUUAAGUUGCAGGGUAUAGACCCGAAACCCGGUGAUCUAGCCAUGGGCAGGUUGAAGGUUGGGUAACACUAACUGGAGGACCGAACCGACUAAUGUUGAAAAAUUAGCGGAUGACUUGUGGCUGGGGGUGAAAGGCCAAUCAAACCGGGAGAUAGCUGGUUCUCCCCGAAAGCUAUUUAGGUAGCGCCUCGUGAAUUCAUCUCCGGGGGUAGAGCACUGUUUCGGCAAGGGGGUCAUCCCGACUUACCAACCCGAUGCAAACUGCGAAUACCGGAGAAUGUUAUCACGGGAGAC
rnacentral:rRNA from 1 species